GAUGAACGCUAGCUACAGGCUUAACACAUGCAAGUCGAGGGGCAGCAUGGUCUUAGCUUGCUAAGGCCGAUGGCGACCGGCGCACGGGUGAGUAACACGUAUCCAACCUGCCGUCUACUCUUGGACAGCCUUCUGAAAGGAAGAUUAAUACAAGAUGGCAUCAUGAGUCCGCAUGUUCACAUGAUUAAAGGUAUUCCGGUAGACGAUGGGGAUGCGUUCCAUUAGAUAGUAGGCGGGGUAACGGCCCACCUAGUCUUCGAUGGAUAGGGGUUCUGAGAGGAAGGUCCCCCACAUUGGAACUGAGACACGGUCCAAACUCCUACGGGAGGCAGCAGUGAGGAAUAUGGGUCAAGGGGCGAGAGCCUGAACCAGCCAAGUAGCGUGAAGGACGACUGCCCUAUGGGUUGUAAACUUCUUUUAUAAAGGAAUAAAGUCGGGUAUGGAUACCCGUUUGCAUGUACUUUAUGAAUAAGGAUCGGCUAACUCCGUG
rnacentral:rRNA from 1 species